GGUCUGCAAAGUUCAUUUACAUUGACACCGUCACCCUUUCUGUGUGGGAACUCCCACUUUCUGUGGGAACUCCGGGGGCAGCUCAGGACCACUCCCCCUGUCCUGUCCCUUGUGCCCUGGGACAGAGCCCGACCCCACCUGGCCCCACGCUCCUGUCAGGGCCCUGUGGAGGCGAGAAGGUCCCUCAUGAAAUUCCUGUGAUCCAGGCUGAGGUCUCCAUGAGGUGUCGCUCCCUAACAAGUGACAAGACAACGGGGGCAAGGAAAGGAACUAGCCCCAAAAUAAAAACUAUUACAUUGACAAGAGCUCUGUUCUGAGGGGAUGCAGUGCAAUGACUUUUAUGAUUUCCUUCUCUGCUCCCACAGUCGUCAGGGAAUAAUCAGUUUAUGGGGGGAAAGCAAGGCCUUUCAAGGUGUUGGCACCAUUUCUGGAGUGAAAGCCCUCAGAAAACCAUAAAGUUUUGCAAGAGUUGCUCUGCAGUCACCAGAGCUGGCAGUGCUGCCGUCGUGGGGACAGGAGCUGGCAUCGCCACCUUCCCAUCCACAGCCCCAGCCAAGCAGCCUCCAGCCCCAGUGAGUUACUGCAAUAAUUAAUAGCUACCAUUUAUACAUAUUCUGAAUGCUUUGAAAGCAAUGCCUAAUCUCAUUAAAUUGUGAAUUGACUUGUUUUCAUCCUGUCGUGGAGUUAAGACAGUCUCUGCUUCCUUCACAUCCAUGGGAGAUGGAGUUGCACAGUAUCAAAUUCAUUCUGAACCAGAAUGAAAUGAAAUGAAAGGAAAAUAAAAUGCCAAAGGCCAUCCUGCUGCAAGGUUUUCAACAGAUUUUAGAGCUGGAGGAGAAAAAUAUUACUAAGAAUGCCAUGCUGGAGAGUAGAUGGAUGUUUCACAGCUCCUGUCACUCACUGUGUUCAACUGAUGUGCUAAUACUGCUCCCAAAGGUGUUGUGAGUAACGCUGGAACACCUCCUUAGGCUUACACCUCUGCUUGGGUCUCAUUUCCGGCAACGAUGAAACGAGGAGCUGGAAUUAGAACAGCACAAGAGCACUCUGAACCAGCUUGGGGUUUUUCUUAAUAUUUUAAAAAUCACAACUUGAAGAAGAGAGUAUCCAAGCAGCAGCUUCUGAGCUCGCCCAAGCAUACAUGUAAAUAUAUAUAUAUAUAUAUAGAUAUUUACAUGUAAAGUGAGUGUAUACAUGCACAGCCGCACAGGACUUCCUCUACAUCUGCAAAACAUUGUUUUCCCAAGGUCAGCAAAGGCUCUUCCACACGUCUGAGCAGCGAGGAAGCUGCCCACGGAGGACACGGUAUUCCCUCACUGUCUCUCGCACAACCUAUGGAUUUU